UUCCUUUUGAUCUUGAAAAGAGGCAACCACUGGUCACAACUGCCUCUGAUGGUUAGUGGAAGUUUGAGUCCUGGGGCAGCUGUUCCUUUAAAAACAUUAUCAAGAACAACUGGACCCUGCAUUAAGCCAGAGAGAUCAAAACUAAUUGCCGGAACGAGAAGCACAUGCCAUUUGGCAUUCACUGCCUCUGUCCCAAGGACAGCCUUGGAAAAUUGUGUAAUCAACUAAGAGCAUGCAGCAUCCAGAGUGACCUCUAUAUUCAUCUCAGUGCCAUUCUCUUCAGUAUCCCCAGUGCUUAUCAUGAUGCCCAGCAAAUAUUUGAAAUCUAUUCUAUGUUCAUUAAAGAAGACAACGUGAGGAUCUCAGGGAGAAGGUCAGCAUAAAACAUCUCUCUUCCCUUUCUAUGUCAUUGACUUCACCAUUCAAAUUACAGCAAAGGUGUUUCCAGUUGUGGAAUCCACUGUUUAUUUGAAGGAAGGAAUCUAACAUUAAUUGUAUGGCUGCAGGGAAUUGGGCUAGAACCUUUCGUUUCUUAAUCCUCAAAUGCUCUUUUGAGUCAAACAUUCAUGGUUCCUCUUAGCAGAAGAAACAGAGGCCCAUGUAAGUAACUUGCCUAAAUUUACAAGACUAGUAAGUAGUAGAGUGGCAUCUGAAUGCAGGUUGUCUGACUCCAAGAACUGUUACUGUUGUACAUACCUGCUUACUAGAGAGUGUUGCCAAGAGAAAAGAGCUUGGACUGCAGAAUUAGGUGGACCUGUAUUUAAAUCCUGACCAUGUCACUUAGUAGCUUUGUAAUUUUGAGUAUGUGUCUUAGUCUUAGUGAAUCUCAACUUCCUUAUCUCAUAUGACUGUUAUGAAGAGUAAAUAAGAUAUGUAAGCACCUAGCACAAUGCCUGGUGCUAAAUACUUAACACAUGGUAGGUAUAAAAUAUUAUUAAUAGAAACCUGGAACUCAAGAAGACAGGCAUAUUCAUUUCUUCGCUCUCUUCUAAUUUAAAAGAAGCUUGGGUGAGAAAACUUGAAAUAAAUGCCCUUGGUCAAUAGUCUGCUUUGCUUUCAUCAUUGCCUCUUCCUGCCACAAAUGUUUUCAAGCUCAAACUUACUGAAAGAGGUUUCCUCAUCAGUGAUGAGUGCUUUUGUAACUCACUCAAAACCUACAAGAAAGAGUCACAAUUUAGUAGUGCUGAGAUGUUGUUGUUUUGGGCAACAGCUACAUUUGGGACAUUAGAAGUGGUAGAAUGGGAAGUUUUCCAAAGCAGUGGAAGAGUAUGUCAUGUGACGCAGCAGCUGUGCUUCCUCAUGGGAUUGUCUCCCUAGUGGAACAUUUCCCCAAAGCUACACUUUUCCUAUCCUACCAGGAGGGUGAAUAAAGUGUGUAUCUCAAACGCCUCUGGUAACAAUUUCUUUCCCAACCAACCCUUCACACUGCGUUGUUUAAAAGACAAAUCUUUUUAAAAAUGCAAAUGUGUGUAUGUCAUUCUCUUGUUUAAAGCCUCCAAUGCACCCUCCUGACACUUUUCACUGUUUUACAAGCCUCACCACUGUUU